rnacentral:rRNA from 1 species
CGAAUUUUUUCAUGCAUCAAAGCUCGUUAAGACUAGAUGGUAUAUCCCUACAUAGCGGGUGGGACCCACGGCGAAUGGUUCAUCAAGUCUUCAAAAAAGAAUAUAUACGAUUGCAUUGCAUAUACUAACGGAUGCGAUCAUGCCAGCACUAAUGCACCGGAUCCCAUCAGAACUCCGCAGUCAAGCGUGCUUGGGCGAGAGUAGUACUAGGAUGGGUGACCUCCCGGGAAGUCCUCGUGUUGCAUCCCUC